AUGUGUAGAAAACAAAAGUUCUUGGAAUGUCCUGAAAAUCCACGGAGGCAUUUUUUGGAAAAUAUAAAAAAUACUGGCGAAAGAAUCAAGACCAGGGGGCCCACACCCUGUCCACGAGGGUGGGGGCGCGCCCUCCCCCCUGGGCGCGCCCCCUAUCUUGUGGGCCCCCUGAGGCUCCGCCGACCUCAAGUCCAACUCCAUAUAUUCCGUCUCGCAGAGAAAAAAAUCAGGGAGAAAGUUUCAUCGCGUUUUACAAUACGGAGCCGACGCCAAGCCCUAAUCUCUCUUGGGAGGGCUGAUCUGGAGUCCGCUCGGGGCUCCGGAGAGGGGGAUUCAUCGCCGUCGUCAUCAUCAACCAUCCUCCAUCACCAAUUUCAUGAUGCUCACCGCCGUGCAUGA
rnacentral:rRNA from 1 species